GCUCGCGUCCUGCCCUCCUCUCCUCUGGCCGCCGACGCUCCUCCCCUCCGGCCUCCCCGAUCCCCUCGCCAUCCUGCGCGCCGUCGUCGCCCACGGAUCCGAUGACCUCUCCGGGAUCUACAACAUCGACGGCUAGGGCGCAUCGCCGCUGCACAAGCCCGACCCGGCGUGCACCGCCAGCACCACGCGCGCGAUGGCUCUGGAUCUCGUUUUCUCUCAUCGCCGCCGCUCCUCUUCGUGCCCGUCUUCCUCAUCUCCUCUGCGUCGCCGCCGCCCGUCCUCCUCCUCUCCUCUGCGCCGCCCGUCUCUGUCGCCGUCUGGCCUAGAUGCGUUCGGAGUCCGUCGGCGCCGCACGCGGAGGAGACGCGGCGAGGAGGAGCGCGAGCCACCGGAGCAGUGGGUCGUCGCGCCGUCGACGGGAGGAAGCUGGGAUGCGAAGAUGGUCAUCCUCGUCGCCAGUGCCAUCAUCCUCGCACGGAAGAAUCGUCUCCCCGACGCGCCUCCUUUGAGGAGCUUCCACCUACCCACCGUGGCUGCUGGCGCGACCUGCUCCUCGGGUGAGCGGUUCCCCCUACGACCUCGAUCCCCUGUCUCUGCUUCUCCGCUGCGACAAUGUCCUCCUCAUCUACAUCGGCCGCUCGACCUGCCCUUCCACAAAAAAUGACUGGCACAUCGAGCCGAGAUGCUGACCCGACUGCCUCGGUGUUGAUUGCCGGCCGACGAACUGCAGUGUGCUACCGGCGUUGAGAUCCAGAAGGAGGCAGCGGAUGGGGAGAUGAGGGUGCUUUGUGGCAUUACAAGAGCAAUGCUAUUGCCAUCACAUUCGGGAAUCGUUCCCGAAGAGUGAACUGACCAGAUGCAAGGUACAAUGAACUGAAAGAAGAAGGGCAUUCUCAUCAAAGGAGGACCAGGACGUCGAGUUAAGAUGGGUUGCCUCUGAUUCGCCU